AGUGAACGCUGGCGGUAGGCCUAACACAUGCAAGUCGAACGGCAGCACAGUAAGAGCUUGCUCUUACGGGUGGCGAGUGGCGGACGGGUGAGGAAUACAUCGGAAUCUACUUUUUCGUGGGGGAUAACGUAGGGAAACUUACGCUAAUACCGCAUACGACCUACGGGUGAAAGCAGGGGAUCUUCGGACCUUGCGCGAUUGAAUGAGCCGAUGUCGGAUUAGCUAGUUGGCGGGGUAAAGGCCCACCAAGGCGACGAACCGUAGCUGGUCUGAGAGGAUGAACAGCCACACUGGAAGUGAGACACGGCCCAGACUCCUACGGGAGGCAGCAGGGGGGAAUUUUGGACAAGGGGCGCAAGCCUGAUCCAGCAAUGCCGCGUGGGUGAAGAAGGCCUUCGGGUUGUAAAGCCCUUUUGUUGGGAAAAAAAACAAGGGGUUUAAUACCCCGGGGUUCUGACGUUACCAAAAGAAUAAGCACCGGCUAACUUCGUG
rnacentral:rRNA from 1 species